UAGUUUGAUGGUUCCUUACUUGUAUG
rnacentral:piRNA from 1 species